GAGAUAUUAUGCUAUCAAAGCAAAAAUACAAAUUAUUCACCCAAAACCUUCAUUCCAUCAGUAUCUGAAAUAAUGAUAUUUUUCAUUUUACAUUAAGCCUUACCAUGUGUACCAGCUAUUUAAAAUAAAGGGCGUGACCAUUUACAGAUACUAUAAAUCAGCUUAUCCUUCACCAGAUUCUAAGAACUCACCAGAAAAGAAAAUGAUAUAGCU
rnacentral:misc_RNA from 1 species